rnacentral:rRNA from 1 species
UACGAAGUGUGCAAGCGUUACUCGGAAUUACUGGGCGUAAAGCGUGCGUAGGUGGUUCGUUAAGUCUGAUGUGAAAGCCCUGGGCUCAACCUGGGAAUGGCAUUGGAAACUGGCGACCUAGAGUGCGGUAGAGGGUAGUGGAAUUCCCGGUGUAGCAGUGAAAUGCGUAGAGAUCGGGAGGAACAUCUGUGGCGAAGGCGACUGCCUGGACCAGCACUGACACUGAGGCACGAAAGCGUGGGGAGCAAACAGG